rnacentral:rRNA from 1 species
GACGAACGCUGGCGGCGUGCUUAACACAUGCAAGUCGAACGGAAAGGCCCUUCGGGGUACUCGAGUGGCGAACGGGUGAGUAACACGUGGGUGAUCUGCCCUGCACUUUGGGAUAAGCCUGGGAAACUGGGUCUAAUACCGAAUAGGACCACGCGCUUCAUGGUGUGUGGUGGAAAGCUUUUGCGGUGUGGGAUGGGCCCGCGGCCUAUCAGCUUGUUGGUGGGGUAAUGGCCUACCAAGGCGACGACGGGCAGCCGGCCUGAGAGGGUGACCGGCCACACUGGGACUGAGAUACGGCCCAGACUCCUACGGGAGGCAGCAGUGGGGAAUAUUGCACAAUGGGCGCAAGCCUGAUGCAGCGACGCCGCGUGAGGGAUGACGGCCUUCGGGUUGUAAACCUCUUUCAAUAGGGACGAAGCGCAAGUGACGGUACCUAUAGAAGAAGCACCGGCCAACUACGUGCCAGCAGCCGCGGUAAUACGUAGGGUGCGAGCGUUGUCCGGAAUUACUGGGCGUAAAGAGCUCGUAGGUGGUUUGUCGCGUUGUUCGUGAAAACUCACAGCUUAACUGUGGGCGUGCGGGCGAUACGGGCAGACUAGAGUACUGCAGGGGAGACUGGAAUUCCUGGUGUAGCGGUGGAAUGCGCAGAUAUCAGGAGGAACACCGGUGGCGAAGGCGGGUCUCUGGGCAGUAACUGACGCUGAGGAGCGAAAGCGUGGGGAGCGAACAGGAUUAGAUACCCUGGUAGUCCACGCCGUAAACGGUGGGUACUAGGUGUGGGUUCCUUCCUUGGGAUCCGUGCCGUAGCUAACGCAUUAAGUACCCCGCCUGGGGAGUACGGCCGCAAGGCUAAAACUCAAAGGAAUUGACGGGGGCCCGCACAAGCGGCGGAGCAUGUGGAUUAAUUCGAUGCAACGCGAAGAACCUUACCUGGGUUUGACAUGCACAGGACGCCGGCAGAGAUGUCGGUUCCCUUGUGGCCUGUGUGCAGGUGGUGCAUGGCUGUCGUCAGCUCGUGUCGUGAGAUGUUGGGUUAAGUCCCGCAACGAGCGCAACCCUUGUCCUAUGUUGCCAGCGGGUUAUGCCGGGGACUCGUAGGAGACUGCCGGGGUCAACUCGGAGGAAGGUGGGGAUGACGUCAAGUCAUCAUGCCCCUUAUGUCCAGGGCUUCACACAUGCUACAAUGGCCGGUACAAAGGGCUGCGAUGCCGUGAGGUGGAGCGAAUCCUUUCAAAGCCGGUCUCAGUUCGGAUCGGGGUCUGCAACUCGACCCCGUGAAGUCGGAGUCGCUAGUAAUCGCAGAUCAGCAACGCUGCGGUGAAUACGUUCCCGGGCCU